AGAGUUUGAUCCUGGCUCAGGACGAACGCUGGCGGCGUGCUUAACACAUGCAAGUCGAACGAUGAACCACUUCGGUGGGGAUUAGUGGCGAACGGGUGAGUAACACGUGGGCAAUCUGCCUGCACUCUGGGACAAGCCCUGGAAACGGGGUCUAAUACCGGAUACGAGUUUCACAGGCAUCUGUGAUUCUGGAAAGCUCC
rnacentral:rRNA from 1 species